rnacentral:rRNA from 1 species
AGCUUGCUAAGGCCGAUGGCGACCGGCGCACGGGUGAGUAACACGUAUCCAACCUGCCGUCUACUCUUGGACAGCCUUCUGAAAGGAAGAUUAAUACAAGAUGGCAUCAUGAGUCCGCAUGUUCACAUGAUUAAAGGUAUUCCGGUAGACGAUGGGGAUGCGUUCCAUUAGAUAGUAGGCGGGGUAACGGCCCACCUAGUCUUCGAUGGAUAGGGGUUCUGAGAGGAAGGUCCCCCACAUUGGAACUGAGACACGGUCCAAACUCCUACGGGAGGCAGCAGUGAGGAAUAUUGGUCAAUGGGCGAGAGCCUGAACCAGCCAAGUAGCGUGAAGGAUGACUGCCCUAUGGGUUGUAAACUUCUUUUAUAAAGGAAUAAAGUCGGGUAUGGAUACCCGUUUGCAUGUACUUUAUGAAUAAGGAUCGGCUAACUCCGUGCCAGCAGCCGCGGUAAUACGGAGGAUCCGAGCGUUAUCCGGAUUUAUUGGGUUUAAAGGGAGCGUAGAUGGAUGUUUAAGUCAGUUGUGAAAGUUUGCGGCUCAACCGUAAAAUUGCAGUUGAUACUGGAUAUCUUGAGUGCAGUUGAGGCAGGCGGAAUUCGUGGUGUAGCGGUGAAAUGCUUAGAUAUCACGAAGAACUCCGAUUGCGAAGGCAGCCUGCUAA